rnacentral:sRNA from 1 species
ACCAGGCGUGGUGGCGCAUGCCUGUAAUCCCAGCGGCUUGGGAGGCUGAGGCAGAAGGAUCCAGAGUUCAAAGCCAGCCUCAGCAAAAGCAAUGAACUAAGCAACUCAGUGAGACCCUGUCUCUA